rnacentral:rRNA from 1 species
UACGUAGGGUGCGAGCGUUGUCCGGAAUUAUUGGGCGUAAAGGGCUCGUAGGCGGUUUGUCACGUCGGGUGUGAAAACUCAGGGCUCAACCCUGAGCCUGCUUCCGAUACGGGCAGACUAGAGGUAUGCAGGGGAGAACGGAAUUCCUGGUGUAGCGGUGAAAUGCGCAGAUAUCAGGAGGAACACCGGUGGCGAAGGCGGUUCUCUGGGCAUUACCUGACGCUGAGGAGCGAAAGCUAGGGUAGCGAACGGG